rnacentral:rRNA from 1 species
CGGGACUCUCACGAGGCCUCGUAAUCGGAAUGAGUACACUUUAAAUAUUUUAACGAGGAACAAUUGGAGGGCAAGUCUGGUGCCAGCAGCCGCGGUAAUUCCAGCUCCAAUAGCGUAUACUAAAUUUGUUGCGGUUAAAAAGCUCGUAGUUGCAUUUGUGCGCCGCGCUGUCGGUGCAAAUCAUCCGAUUUGAUACUGACACGUUUGCGGAGCAUAUCGUCGGUGAGCUACCGGUCAAACGGUAGUUCAAUAUCAAAAUCCUAUCGCGGUGCUCUUCAGUGAGUGUCGAGGUGGGCCGACAAUUUUACUUUGAACAAAUUAGAGUGCUCAAAGCGGGCUCAAAACGCUGCUUGAAUAUUUCGUGCAUGGAAUAAUAGAAUAUGAUCUCGGUUCUAUUUUGUUGGUUUUCAGAACUCCGAGGUAAUGAUUAAUAGGGAUAACUGGGGGCAUUCGUAUUGCGACGUUAGAGGUGAAAUUCUUGGAUCGUCGCAAGACGAACAUCAGCGAAAGCAUUUGCCAAAGGUGUUUUCAUCAAUCAAGAACGAAAGUUAGAGGUUCGAAGGCGAUUAGAUACCGCCCUAGUUCUAACCGUAAAUAUGUCAUCUAGCGAUCCGCCGACGUUAAUCAAAUGGCUCGGCGGGCAGCUUCCGGGAAACCAAAGAUUUUGGACUCCGGGGGGAGUAUGGUUGCAAAGCUGAAACUUAAAGGAA